UGUCGGCGCGCGCGGGGUUCACGGUGCUGCUGCUGCUGCCGCUGCUUCGGUUUUUCCGUGAUGUCCUCCCCGUCCCCGAAGAACCGAUGCAGUGCGCAUGCUCAGACUCGCUCUUGUGGUUCAGAAUAAAGUCACAGCCGAGCACCACCUGCUGGACGUCCACGGAACAGCAGGGCAACGAUUACAAGCGGUUUCACCAUCCAGCGGUGACCUGGAAGAAAAGCAGCCAUGAAGGAGCAGCAGUCUGCUGCAGCUCAUGGCACUUUAUUCUGAUUAUUUCCAUUUUCCUGUUAAAAUGUUAAAAUUAUCUAUCGAUAGAUUAAAAUAGUUGGAGGAGGUUCAUCUGGUUGUAGAUGUUUUCUUUAACUGAGGUAUGUGCACCUGUGUGAACUGAGUUAUGAUGACUUGAGUCUUAGUUUUGGUUUUAUUCAUUCUGUGAUCUAAAACAAAAAUUAUCUUUCGGUUUUUUAUAUUGUCUGUCACUGUUUUAUGUUGUAUUGUCUGACACUUUGUGUAAUGAGCUGCUGCUUGUCUUGGCCAGGACUGUCAAGGAGAUUCUUAAUCGUAAUGAGGCUUUUCCUGGUUGAAUAAAUGUAUUUUAAAAAAUCAAAAAAAUACAAAAUUAAUUAAGAUUAAAAUUCCACUACAGAUUU